rnacentral:rRNA from 1 species
UACAGAGGUGGCAAGCGUUGUUCGGAAUUACUGGGCGUAAAGGGCGCGUAGGCGGCCUACUAAGUCAGACGUGAAAUCCCUCGGCUUAACCGGGGAACUGCGUCUGAUACUGGAUGGCUUGAGUUCGGGGAGAGGGAUGCGGAAUUCCAGGUGUAGCGGUGAAAUGCGUAGAUAUCGGGAGGAACACCAGUGGCGAAGGCGACUUCCUGGCCUGUUCUUGACGCUGAGGCGCGAAAGCUAGGGUAGCAAACGGG